rnacentral:rRNA from 1 species
CCUACGGGAGGCAGCAGUGGGGAAUAUUGCACAAUGGGGGAAACCCUGAUGCAGCAACGCCGCGUGAAGGAAGAAGGUUUUCGGAUUGUAAACUUCUGUUCGUAGUGAGGAAUAAUGACGGUAGAUAAGGUGCAAGCAACGGCUAACUACGUGCCAGCAGCCGCGGUAAUACGUAGGUGGCAAGCGUUGUCCGGAAUUACGGGGUGUAAAGGGAGCGGAGGCGGGUUGCGAAGUCAGCUGUGAAAACUACGGGCUUAACUUGUAGACUGCAGUUGAAACUGGUUUUCUUGAGUGAAGUAGAGGUUGGCGGAAUUCGGGGUGUAGCGGUGAAAUGCGUAGAUAUUCGGAGGAACACCGGUGGCGAAGGCGGCCAACUGGACUUUAACUGACGCUGAGGCUCGAAAGUGUGGGGAGCAAACAGGAUUAGAUACCCCUGUAGUC